rnacentral:lncRNA from 1 species
GCUGGCUGAUGUUCAGCUCGCUGCCCACAAAGACACUCAGGUCCUUUUUCUGCAGAGCACGCCCCAGCACGUAUCACUGCAGGGUGUUGGUCUACCCCAGGCGCAGGAUCUGCAUUUGUCUUGUUGAAUUUCCUGACAGUCCGUUCCUCCUGCCUGCUGAGGCCCACCUGAAUGGCAGCCCUCAAACAUAUGACUGUUCCUCCUGAGUAAAUGUCAUCUACAAAUGUGAUGAGAAUUGCAUCCUCCAGGUCAMUGAUGAACCGGUUAGACAGGACAGGUCCCAGUAUAGACCCCUCCAUACUCCACCUUUACCUGGCUUCCGGGUAAAGCAUAACCCAUUCAAAAAAACCCUCUGAGCAUGAUCAUCCAACCAGCUUUUUACCCACCUGCGUGUCUACCCAUCUUAUCAUAAUGCCUUAUUGUAUUCCUCAUUGCCCUCACGAUCUGGGACUCCACUAUUUCACAGUCACUGCAGCCAAGGUUUCCACAGAUUAUCACAGCCCUGAUCCGUGCUUCCUUGUGUGAGUACCAGAUCCACGUGAGCAUCACCCUUCCUGGCUCAUCAGGGAGCUGUACUUGAAAGCUGUCCCUGACACCCUCCAGAAAUCUCCUGGACUGCUUGCACCCUCCUGUUUACCUUUCCAAUGAAUAUCGGGGAGAUUAAAGUCUCCCCAUAAAAACCACACCCUGUGACCACUAACUUCCUCAGGUUGCUUAAAGGAGACUGCAUCCACCUCCUCACCCUCUUCAGGGGGUCUGUAACUCCCAUCACAACAACACCUUUGCUCUGAUGCCCAGCCACAAGCUCUCACCCAAACCCUUGUCCAUCCCAUGCAAGAGCUCCAUCCAUCUGAGCUGUCCCUUCACACCAAGGGCAUCCCCCCUGCUCAUCUUCCCUAAUCGUCUUGCCUGCAGAGAUUGUACCCUGCCAUCACAGCCCUCCAGUCAUGGUAGUGAUCCCACCGCUUCUCAGUUAUUCCAACGAUGUUUCAGUCCUGUGACAGCUUGUGCAUCUCCAUCUGUUCCUCUCUGUGCCCCAGGCUGCAUUCACUUGUGUGUAUUUGAGUUGCAGAGCCUCAGCUGUGGCACAGAGAGCAGACCAGUCAUGGUGAAACCUGUUACCAUGAGCCAAGGACACCGUGUGUGCAAUGGCCCCACCUCAGAGCAGAGACAUGCUGGCAUCGAUAGCAGGUGGCAAUGUAAUGGUGGAAUGAGGUUCCCACUGAGAGAGCAAACCCUACAGUGCCCAAGGUCAGCAAGAAACAGAGCUGGGCUGUACAGGAAUGCCAGUAGAGGGGCUGGCUGCCUGAGCUGACUCUGCAGCAGGUUGGUACCCUGUGACAGAGGUGAAGCAAUCUCCAGGCAGGACAAGGUGCCACUGAAGAAGUCCCUGGGCCUGGGUAGCCUGUGAUUUGGCACCCUGAGGUCAUCAUUAGCCCAGUUCCUGUUCAUAUCACCUGGGGGUGAAAAGAGGUUCAGGGGGAGCAAAGCUAGAAGGUUUUAAGGGUGCAGAGACUAGAGCAGAGACCUUGCUGGGAUGUGCCUCUCCCAUUUAUGCAGCACACUUGGUGUAGGUUGGAGGGACUUGGCCUAAAGGCAGUGGUGGGAUCCAGUUGUUUGGGCACAGGUAGGAAACCUGAAUUGCCCUGGGGUACUUGUCCAGCAACCACUCCAAAGGGGCAUGGUUUUCCUAGAGGUCCCAUGCUGUAUCUGCUAGAGACAUGUGCUUGUGCUGGACCCCUGAGGCAUUCAACAUGGCCCUGCAAGCCUAUUUCUAUGUCACUGAAUCAAGUUCCUGCACUGGAUGACAUCAACUGUUUGCAGUGUCGUGAUCUGCAUGUGUCUCAGCUUCCUAGUGAGUGGAGCUCUGGUAGCAGUGGGCAUCUAGUAUCAUUGCAGGUGGCCAAGGAAAUUCCCCUCCUGGCCCUCUCCUCAUGCUCUAGAAGGAUGUGGGUGUCACACUUGCUCCAUCAGAGCAAGCAGAUACUGGCACAUAUCCUCCAGCACCACUGUCUCUUCCAAUGUCACCAGGUGUUUGUGUGCGAGCAACUGACUCCCACCCUCCUUCUCUUUUGAUUAUAACAGGAGCAUGGACCAAGAUUAGCAUGCAGACUUUCAUGCUGUGCUCACUUCUGCCUGGGCAAGGGGAAUCCCACCCCCUUUG